UUGUGGAGCGAUUCGUCUGGUCAAUUCCGAUAACAAACGAGACUAGCCUACUAAAUAGCUCGGGGACCCCCACAAAGGGGCCCCGCUUAAACUUCUUAGAGGGACAGGUGGCGUUUAGCCACACGAGAUUGAGCAACAACA
rnacentral:rRNA from 1 species